UACGGGGGGGGCAAGCGUUGGUCGGAAUUACUGGGCGUAAAGGGCGCGUAGGCGGCCAUCUAAGUCAGACGUGAAAUCCCUCGGCUCAACCGAGGAACUGCGUCUGAUACUGGAAGGCUUGAAUCCGGGAGAGGGAUGUGGAAUUCCAGGUGUAGCGGUGAAAUGCGUAGAUAUCUGGAGGAACACCGGUGGCGAAGGCGGCAUCCUGGACCGGUAUUGACGCUGAGGCGCGAAAGCUAGGGGAGCAAACGGG
rnacentral:rRNA from 1 species